rnacentral:rRNA from 1 species
UACGUAGGGGGCAAGCGUUGUCCGGAUUUAUUGGGCGUAAAGAGCGUGUAGGCGGCCAGGUAGGUCUGCUGUGAAAACUCGAGGCUUAACCUCGAGCUGUCGGCGGAAACCAUCUGGCUAGAGUCCGGAAGAGGAGAAUGGAAUUCCCGGUGUAGCGGUGAAAUGCGCAGAUAUCGGGAAGAACACCCGUGGCGAAGGCGGUUCUCUGGGACGGUACUGACGCUGGAGACGCGAAAGCGUGGGGAGCGAACAGGAU